GUCGCUGAAACAACAGCGUCCGGGUUUGACAGCCCGAUCAAUCGAAGCGCACAGCCGCGCAGAGCGGCUUUUUU
rnacentral:sRNA from 1 species